CAGUCGCCGCGGGAAUACGGAGGGGGCUAGCGUUGUUCGGAAUUACUGGGCGUAAAGCGCACGUAGGCUGCUUUGUAAGUCAGAGGUGAAAGCCCGGGGCUCAACCCCGGAUGUGCCUUUGAGACUGCAGGGCUAGAACGUCGGAGAGGUGAGUGGAAUUCCGAGUGUAGAGGUGAAAUUCGUAGAUAUUCGGAAGAACACCAGUGGCGAAGGCGGCUCACUGGACGACUGUUGACGCUGAGGUGCGAAAGCGUGGGGAGCAAACAGGAUUAGAUACCCCAGUAGUCCCUGUCUCUUAUAC
rnacentral:rRNA from 1 species